rnacentral:sRNA from 1 species
AUGGCGAGGACACAUAUACACGAAGUAUCUCAAGGAAUAGCGAUUUUACGAGCUUGUUCGCGGCGAGGCUUUCGAUGUCCACCGUGCCAUCUUUCCUUUUAGACGAUAUUAUUGCGCGACGAACUCGACACUGGAGUUGUGUAUCGAGAACGCAAUGUAUCAACAUCCACGUGGCGGCCGGGAUGGCGUUGGCAUUUGUGCUUGAUUUACACAUUAAUCAGUUCUGCACUCAAUGAGGGAAGAGGGGAAGCGACAUACGCCCAAAGAAGACCUAGAUGAAAAACAGCCCGCCCUCGUUUACUGAUGCCAUUGUUUAGAAAUGUACGGUGUCUCUGCCUCACCAACCUGGCCCCCCAAUAUUCAUCCCACGCGGGAUCUUCUGAUUCCACAUCCUCGAAUUUUCGGUGCCUGGAUGCCUCUUCCUCCCAUCGCUCUAGAGCAGAGACCAUCGCAUCUCGGCUUGCAGCUGCCUCCGGUGUAAAUAUGCUAGGUAAGUUCAUUGUAAGCACUAAUGCCCACGAAUCAAAUUCCCAAAUAUCUUCGAAUGCUUGGGGCCAAAUUUCCAAAAUACGAGUCCCCAUCAACAUCGGAAUGGAAGCAAGCGUGAACUGCCGCAUAAGAAACUCUCUAAAAUCCAGCGUUAUCCAUGCGUCGCUGGUGUCACAGCUUCCUUUCCUUUGAAACACGUUUUCUAAAUUUGCACUCAAACUCGCACUAAAUUUAGAUAUCAUAGCGGGUAAAUUUGGACCAUUGAGGAUAUUUAGAUCGGCUUGGGGGGCUCCAAAUGCCUUAUUCACGAGCAAGACAACAGGGUCAAAGGUGAAAACCUUUGGGCGACGAUCUACCUCCCUUGCAAGCUUAGGGUCAAAAAUUGUAUAAAGAUUAUUCCCUGCCAUUAACGUUCGCGACACUGGGACGUUAUGGUAUUUUACCCUAGAAAUUUGAGGUCAGAACAUGGACAAGCAGUGGUGUACCAAAUCCCGACCCUUUCCCCCUAUAUUUAACCGCGUCCUCCUUUUCGUUUCUUCAUAUUUCCGGGGGGAUUUGAUUUGCAGAGCAAGGAAGAGAGAAGAAAUGUUCACCCACUUAACCCAGCUCGAGAAACGAGUCGUCCCGCGGCGGAAGGACAACGCAUGACCAAGCCACGGGAUGAUAUAAGGGAUCAACGGAGGCUCUCCCUUCUGCCAGGGCCCAAUACGUGCCUUGACGUUAGUGAUAAGCCAGGUGG